AUAAACGCUGGCGGCGUGCAUGAGACAUGCAAGUCGAACGGACGAUCGAGGCUUGCUUCGAUCGUUAGUGGCGGACGGCUGAGUAACGCGUGGGUGACCUGCCCCGAAGUGGGGAAUAACUGCCCGAAAGGGUGGCUAAUACCGCAUGUGGUGAUGCGUUCGAUCGCAUCAGUAAAGCCGCAAGGCGCUUCGGGAGGGGCCUGCGUCCGAUUAGCUCGUUGGUGGGGUAACGGCUCACCAAGGCGACGAUCGGUAGGUGGUCUGAGAGGACGAUCACCCAGACUGGGACUGAGACACGGCCCAGACUCCUACGGGAGGCAGCAGUCGGGAAUUUUGCGCAAUGGACGAAAGUCUGACGCAGCAACGCCGCGUGAGGGAUGACGGCCUUCGGGUUGUAAACCUCUUUUGUCAGGGACGAUGAUGACGGUACCUGACGAAUAAGCCACGGCUAACUACGU
rnacentral:rRNA from 1 species